GAGUUGGAAGGCUUCACCAAGUACAAAGACGAGACUGCCAGGGUGCAUUACAACUUAAAGGCGUGUGUUCAAUAACAUGUCAUCUCCGGAUAACACCAUUGUUUCUCCCUAAAAUGGACGGACUCAGUGCCCACCACCUGUCCUCAAAACCCAGAAGGACUCAGAACCUAAUACAUCAUGUCAGGUAAUGAGGAACUGUUUUGUUUCUGUUACUGGGAUACGGAUGAAAAUAAGGAUGAGGUAGGUAAGUAAACUCCUGUGCCAGACAAGGAGGAGAUCUGGGACACUGAGUUUAAAAUUUUUUUAACGGAAUUGCCACUAGAUUUAUUGUGUAGGGUCUUUUGUUAUCUUUCCUUCCCUUUCUUUUCCGGUUGAUUUGUCAACUCUGACCAUCUACUCUGAUUUGAAUGGAGCUCUGGAAUAAUGGGCUAAGUCAGGAGAAUUGGCUUCUCAAGUUGGCUCUGCCACUGGCUGUGUAGUUUUAGGAAAGUAUAAAUAAUU
rnacentral:lncRNA from 1 species